UUACGGCCAUAUCAUGUUGAAACAUUGACUCUCGUAUGAUCACCGAAGUUAAGCAACGUCGAGCCUAGUCAAUACAUAGAUGGGUGACCGCUUGAAAUACUAGGUGCUGUCAG